rnacentral:rRNA from 1 species
UCCGGAUGGCGUGAUUGGCNCAUGUCCUUUCACUAAGGUAUUCCGGUGCACGAUGGGGAUGCGUUCCAUUAGGCAGUUGGCGGGGUAACGGCCCACCAAGCCUUCGAUGGAUAGGGGUUCUGAGAGGAAGGUCCCCCACACUGGAACUGAGACACGGUCCAGACUCCUACGGGAGGCAGCAGUGAGGAAUAUUGGUCAAUGGCCGGAAGGCUGAACCAGCCAAGUAGCGUGAGGGAUGACAGCCCUACGGGUUGUAAACCUCUUUUGUCCGGGAAUAAAACGGGGGACGUGUCCCCCCUUGCAUGUACCGGUUGAAUAAGGGCCGGCUAAUUCCGUG